rnacentral:misc_RNA from 1 species
AAACUUCACAACGUUCAUCGGUCACCUUGAUGUUCGAAGAACGAAAACUAGUUUGGUGCUUACAUAAUCUUAGAAACCCAAUUGCAAGACACAUUACUUCCUUCACAAACAGGACUAGACUACAAAGGGAUUGUUCCGCUGCAUAGGAACACAACCGUAUAAUUUUCUGCAUUUUUUAGGCCUAACACAUAGUUGUCAAAAGCUCGAUGUAUAAAUUCGAUAGUUACAUUUUCAAGAUACUCCAGUACUCACUUUACGAGCAUUGAAUUAGGUUAGUUACAAGAAAAACUGUGCCAUUCGGAGUGUACAGAACAGUGAAGAAAUCUCAAAUUCACUAGUCAUGAUAUAAUGUUCUUUGUCACACCAAUGUCCUUUUGUCAUUUACAGACUUCUUUGAUAGCGUUGAGCAUUCACAGACAUCCCACCAUCAUCUCCACGGAAUUGUCUAUACCUGAAGAGAUCAUCGCUACCUUUGUUCAAUCUGCCUCUGGGAGGCAUAGGUAGCAGAGGUAAUGCAUUUGGAUGGUGACAGAUUCCGAGUUUCACUACAAACGUGACAGUGGUUCCCUUUCCAGGGCCCUCACUCUCAAUCCAAAUGUUACCUUUCAUAAGUUGAAUAAAUCUGCAUCCAUCCGUCUCAAAUGUCAAAUGAGUACAAAUAAUGAUAACCAAGGUACAAAGCAACAUACGAGUAAGGCAAGGUAAACAGAGGAUGUCUUGUAGAAGCCUUUAUAAUAUGGACAACUAGGAAAAAAUGAUGAUCUCGAAUUAACAAUUUGAAACAUACCGUCUGCAAAUGGCAAGCCCUAGACCUUCCCCUCCAGUACUUCGAUUUGACGUAGGCCGUGACUCUGCAAAUUUGGUGAAUACUAGUGGUAUAUCUUGUGGGCUAAUUCCACACCCAGUAUCUCUAACCUGGACACGCAAAUAAAACUGGCCAUCACUUGGCAUAGGGAACAUUUCAGGAGGAUGACAAUCUCUCGCAUACUCUGGUUUGGCAACUGAAGCCUCAAUUGAAAUAUGUCCUUCUUUAGUGAACUUCACAGCAUUUCCCGCCACGUUUAAGAGAGUUUGGAUAAGACGUUUUGCAUCACCCACAGCAAGAAUAGGUAAAUCCAGAGCCAAAGCAAGAGUUAUAGAUAAUUUCUUCAAAGAUGCAAUUGGCUUUAUCAAAUUAACGGCCUCUCUUAAGAUGCCAUGAAGAUUGAAUGUUCCGUUUUCUAGUUCAAGAAUACCAUCUUCAAGUCUAGAAAGAUCUAGAACAUCAUUUAUCAGUGUUGCAAGAAGAUUGCUGCUCUUCAAUAUGGUCUCAAUCAUAACUCUCUGCUCUGGAGUUAAGUCUGUUUCUAAAAGCAGAGAGCACAGAGCAAUAACUGCAUGCAUGGGCGUUCUCAUUUCAUGGUUCAUCACAGCA